GGUCCUGACUAGCUCAACUGGUAGAGCAUGGCAUUAACAUUGCCAGGGUAAGGGGUUCGAUUCCCACUGGGACCA
rnacentral:tRNA from 1 species